rnacentral:rRNA from 1 species
AAUCAACGCUGGCGGCGUGCCUCAGACAUGCAAGUCGAACGAUUAAAGCUCUCUUCGGAGAGUGCAUAGAGUGGCGCACGGGUGAGUAACACGUAAGUAAUCUACCUUCGAGUGGGGAAUAACGUCCGGAAACGGGCGCUAAUACCGCAUAAUGCAGCGGCAUCGCAAGAUGACAGUUGUUAAAGGAGCAAUCCGCUUGAAGAGGAGCUUGCGGCAGAUUAGCUAGUUGGUAGGGUAAUGGCCUACCAAGGCUACGAUCUGUAACCGGUCUUAGAGGACGGUCGGUCACACUGACACUGAAUAACGGGUCAGACUCCUACGGGAGGCAGCAGUCGGGAAUUUUGGGCAAUGGGCGAAAGCCUGACCCAGCAACGCCGCGUGAAGGAUGAAGUAUUUCGGUAUGUAAACUUCGAAAGAAUAGGAAGAAUUAAUGACGGUACUAUUUAUAAGUCCGGCUAACUACGUG